GCUGCCUCCUCUUUCCUAGCGCGGUGACGGUAGCUGCCAGAAGCGAAAGCAAAGUACCUAUAACUACAACAUGCCAGAGUCACGUGCCGAGUGUUGCCCGCUGCAUGAGGAAGGGUCAUUGGUUUGGUUGCGGUCACAUGGAGUGAAAAACGCUGACAAUGAUACAGGUUGAUCGUCCCAAUCGCCAUGUUGAGCCAAGAGUGCUGGCAUAAUACAGGGAGGAUGCGCUUGUGGUUACAUUGGUGUCUGUUGUAACACAGCUCCACGUUCAGGUUCAUCGCUGUGAUCUUCAUGUUGAGUGAAGAGUGCUGACAUCAUACAGACAAUGUGAACUGCCACCGCUGGAUUGCUGGAUACUUCUUGCUGGGGUUUUAUUCAAGCAGGAUGUCAGCAAUUGAGGACUUCAAUGGCAGUUUUCUCUAGUGCAAAGUGAAGAUGAAUAUGGAGUGCGACUAGAUUUUAUGAAACCAAUGUGGAGCUGGAUGUUGCCCGGGCUAAAGGCGACCUUUUGAAGCUACUUCCUCUAUGACAUGGCAAUAGAUGAGAAUGGCUGUAAAUGGAUUGACAAACUUUGUAUCGUAUCUGUAUCGGACCGUCGUGGUGAAGAGGGAGCUGAGUCGCAAGACGAAGCUCUCGAUUUACCGAUCGGCUUCCUUGCUCCGAAUGCUGCCUCCGCGACCCGACCCCGGAUAAGCGACAGAAGAAAGUGAAGGUGUGAUUCAAAGACACCAUCAGAGCUGUUUUUGAUGACCUGUUCUGAUGUAUUGUGUAUUAGAUGUAUUAUAAGAAACUGGAAAAGCAUGAUGCACUGGCUGCAGUUGUUUCAAGAGCCUUUCAUGUGAUCUUUGUAACGCGGCUUCUGUGGGAAAUUAAAGUAGGUUCAU